GAUGAACGCUGGCGGCGUGCCUAAUACAUGCAAGUCGAGCGAACGGACGAGAAGCUUGCUUCUCUGAUGUUAGCGGCGGACGGGUGAGUAACACGUGGAUAACCUACCUAUAAGACUGGGAUAACUUCGGGAAACCGGAGCUAAUACCGGAUAAUAUUUUGAACCGCAUGGUUCAAAAGUGAAAGACGGUCUUGCUGUCACUUAUAGAUGGAUCCGCGCUGCAUUAGCUAGUUGGUAAGGUAACGGCUUACCAAGGCAACGAUGCAUAGCCGACCUAAGAGGGUGAUCGGCCACACUGGAACUGAGACACGGUCCAGACUCCUACGGGAGGCAGCAGUAGGGAAUCUUCCGCAAUGGGCGAAAGCCUGACGGAGCAACGCCGCGUGAGUGAUGAAGGUCUUCGGAUCGUAAAACUCUGUUAUUGGGGAAGAACAUAUGUGUAAGUAACUGUGCACAUCUUGACGGUACCUAAUCAGAAAGCCACGGCUAACUACGUG
rnacentral:rRNA from 1 species